AAGAAUCUACAGGUCGAGCAAGUCUCGUAAAUUUCACGAUUGCGAGCCACGCUUCACGCAACCGUGUUUGCGUACUUGUGUUUCGAGUUGCGUGGUCGUGCGGAGUUAUAUUUACCAAAUUUAAAUAGGCCGUUCCAACAUGCUGUCAAAAUUAAAUCAAUAUGUCAAUAUGGCUACUGGGUGUAAAAGAUAAAUCUUAUUCUAUCUGUUCUUAAUGAGUUUUAGAUAAUUUUAGUUGUAUUUCUUUGUAAUUUUGUGUUGUACAAAGAUUAAUUUAACAUUUUCUCUGGAAGUAUUAAUUUAGAAAGAUAAUAUGCUUCAUUGGUGUUGUGUUUUGAAGUGUGAAAUGCAAAGUAAUUGUGAUAAAGUCAAGAUAAAGUUCACUUUUAAACUGAACUAAAUAAGGUAUCUGAGAGACAACAAUGGUUAAAUGCAAUACAAUGUACAGGUUUUACUAGCGAAAUGAAAAUUUUCCUGUCCUGUCUGCUGUAAUCAUUUUAUAUCUGGAAAACCAGCCGACUUAAUCGAUAAUAACAAUCUCCAGAUUGGGUUCCUUCAAUAAAUAUGGGCUAUUAACACAAUGAAAUAAGUUCGAGAAAAUCUAAAAUGGAGUGGUAUCAAAGGAGAAUUAAAGGAAAAAAUAUUCAUAUUGAAAUUAUUUAUAAGGCACUGGACUGUCUUAAAUUCUACAAUAAUACUAGAAUCAGCUGAGAGAAGUGUCUACAAAAAACCAGGAAGGAAACGGAAUAUGUGGCUACGAAAGGCAAAAGAAAGGUUUACAAAGCAAAUGUGACACAUUUUUUUGAAAUAUUUAGGAAUAUCA